GCCACUGCUGGCAGUCGUCACAGCCUGUCCCCCCAGUGCUCAGGAGACAGCUCAUUCUCGCAGUUCUUUGUUCUCUCUGGGCAACCCACACCUUCCUGCCUCCUGCCCCACGUUGCACAGUCUCCUCCCACUGUCCUGCCUUCCAAACACAUCAACAGCUUGUGCCCCAAUCGCCGUCCCCUCGUCCCUGCUGACUUCUCUCCUGAUUGCGCCCUUUCCUUCCCCUCUUCUGUGCGGGGCAGACAUGCUUAUUUGGCACUUGAUGGUAUCUUGUCCUGUAUGGAAUCCAGCACCCAGGUCCCGACAAAGCCAGGGCAGGUGCCUGGAGGGCCUUCCUGCACAGAGUUCUGGCGAGACACUGCUUCCCGUGCUGCUGUGUCAAGUGCAAGCUUCUCCUGCCCGCUGCUCUUGGCACGGGCACUCUCAUCUCGCUCUGCCUUUGAACUGUUCCAAGUCAUUUUCCAGGAAGCGACCUCAGGUCCCCUGAUGAGCCAGCAGGAGGUGGGGACGCCAAUGCCUUCUGCGCCAGGUGGGUCCGGCCCCUGCAGGAGGUGGGGGCCCUGAGCCCUGCCAGGCCAUCCUGCUGCCCUGGUCCUGGGCCCUGACCUUCACAGAGCUGUGUCCCGGGCACACAGGCCAUGGAGGGAGCGUGGUGCAGCCACACACUCCACUGAGAAAAGCUCAUCUGGUGGAGGCAGUGUUGAGUGGACCACGGUGUGGAUGAGAGCCUCAGGCAGUGAGGAGUCGCUGUGCGGGCCAUCAGCAGAGCCCUUCAGGAUCUCAGGCUCCUCACGGGAGCCAUCCGGCAUCCUGGGAGCAACUCUUGCCUCUGUUCUUCGGGAGGUGCUCUGGGUACUUGCAAGAGUAAAUAAGGGGCAGCAAACCUGAUGUCCCUGCUCAUGAGCCUGCCGAGGCCAUCGUGCACCCAGGAGGGUCCUGAGCCAGAUGCUAGACUUGGCCACAUCCCUUCCUGGCUGGGUGCUGAUCCCAGCUGGCACCUAAUGAUGCUCCACAGGCACUUCAGAGUGAGAAUGGCCUUGGUCCUGUGGCGGCAGCUCCACCAGAAGAACAGAAGGCUGAUGCUGGCCCAAUCACAUGGUUUCCCUGCCUAUGGCCUCCGUGGUCUGGGAGGGGGGCUGUGGUGCCCCCAUCUGCAUGCACAC
rnacentral:lncRNA from 1 species